rnacentral:rRNA from 1 species
GACGAACGCUGGCGGCGUGCUUAACACAUGCAGGUCGAACGGAAAGGCCCUGCUUUUGUGGGGUGCUCGAGUGGCGAACGGGUGAGUAACACGUGAGUAACCUGCCCUUGACUUUGGGAUAACUUCAGGAAACUGGGGCUAAUACCGGAUAGGAGCUCCUGCUGCAUGGGGGGGGUUGGAAAGUUUCGGCGGUUGGGGAUGGACUCGCGGCUUAUCAGCUUGUUGGUGGGGUAGUGGCUUACCAAGGCUUUGACGGGUAGCCGGCCUGAGAGGGUGACCGGCCACAUUGGGACUGAGAUACGGCCCAGACUCCUACGGGAGGCAGCAGUGGGGAAUAUUGCACAAUGGGCGGAAGCCUGAUGCAGCAACGCCGCGUGCGGGAUAACGGCCUUCGGGUUGUAAACCGCUUUCGCCUGUGACGAAGCGUGAGUGACGGUAAUGGGUAAAGAAGCACCGGCUAACUACGUG